AUACGUAGGUGGCAAGCGUUGUCCGGAUUUAUUGGGCGUAAAGCGAGCGCAGGCGGUUUCUUAAGUCUGAUGUGAAAGCCUUCGGCUCAACCGAAGAAGUGCAUCGGAAACUGGGAAACUUGAGUGCAGAAGAGGACAGUGGAACUCCAUGUGUAGCGGUGGAAUGCGUAGAUAUAUGGAAGAACACCAGUGGCGAAGGCGGCUCUCUGGUCUGCAACUGACGCUGAGGCUCGAAAGCAUGGGUAGC
rnacentral:rRNA from 1 species